AAGCUAGCCCUUGUCUUUCCUCAUCUGUCCCUCACCCGGGAAAAGAAAACGCAUAGGCUAUAGUAUUCGUAAGAAUAUAUACUCGUCUUUCCUCGUCAGUCCCCCAUCCAUGAAGAGAAGACGAAUAUAUGUGUGUAUAUAUAUAUAUAUAUAUAUAUAGUGCUCUUCGCUCUCCACUCUCAUGCCAAGUCCCCAAAAUUCGUUGGUUGUUGGCCCUUCUCCAUCUGUGCCGCAUCUCCCUCGGCCCCUCCCUGUCCCAGUCCGCUAGCUGUAGGCUGUUCAAGAUUCCGUCGAUCGCCCCUCGGCUCCUAACACCCCUCACCACCGCUACCUCUGUGCCGAAGAGGGAGGCUAAGGUUCACAUUAACCAGCCGAAUUGGAGUGGCGAGGCCCUCGUAUUCCUUUUCCCGAUUACAAGAGAGCCACAUGAACUUAAUACCGAGGCUCCGUACCCCUUACUUUGAAUGUGUUGCCUUUGAUUUGAAUUCCCAUAAAGAAAAACGCCUAAAUUUGCUGCUUAUGAGUUAUGUUGUCCAUUUAGGCGUCUCUCUCAAAUAUUCUCUUCAUACUCAUUAACUGUUUUUUUUGUCCGAUUGUAAAUUCUGUCUGUUUAUCAAGACACAUUAUUACUUAGCAGUGAGUAGUGAAGUGUCA